GAUGAACGCUGGCGGCGUGCCUAAUACAUGCAAGUCGAGCGAACAGACGAGGAGCUUGCUCCUCUGACGUUAGCGGCGGACGGGUGAGUAACACGUGGAUAACCUACCUAUAAGACUGGGAUAACUUCGGGAAACCGGAGCUAAUACCGGAUAAUAUAUUGAACCGCAUGGUUCAAUAGUGAAAGACGGUUUUGCUGUCACUUAUAGAUGGAUCCGCGCCGCAUUAGCUAGUUGGUAAGGUAACGGCUUACCAAGGCAACGAUGCGUAGCCGACCUGAGAGGGUGAUCGGCCACACUGGGACUGAGACACGGUCCAGACUCCUACGGGAGGCAGCAGUAGGGAAUCCUGGGCAAUGGGCGAAAGCUUGACGGAGCAACGCCGCGUGAGUGAUGAAGGUCUUCGGAUCGUAAAACUCUGUUAUUAGGGAAGAACAAAUGUGUAAGUAACUAUGCACGUCUUGACGGUACCUAAACAGAAAGCCACGGCUAACUACGUG
rnacentral:rRNA from 1 species